CCUACGGGUGGCAGCAGUGGGGGAUAUUGCACAAUGGGGGAAACCCUGAUGCAGCGACGCCGCGUGAGUGAAGAAGUAUUUCGGUAUGUAAAGCUCUAUCAGCAGGGAAGAAAAAAGACGGUACCUGACUAAGAAGCCUCGGCUAACUACGCGCCAGCAGCCGCGGUAAUACGCAGGGGGCAAGCGUUAUCCGGAUUUACUGGGGGUAAAGGGAGCGUAGACGGCAAUGCAAGUCGGAAGGGAAAUAACCGGGCUCAACCUGGGAACUGCUUUGGAAACUGGAUGGCUGGAGUACUGGAGAGGUAAGCGGAAUUCCUGGUGUAGCAGUGAAAUGCGUAGAUAUUAGGAGGAACACCAGUGGCGAAGGCGGCUUACUGGACAGUAACUGACGUUGAGGCUCGAAAGCGUGGGGAGCAAACAGGAUUAGAUACCCCUGUAGUC
rnacentral:rRNA from 1 species